UACUAUAUUAAAGUGUAACUGACUUGAUUUUUCUCAUAAUUUUGGAUUUAGUUUUUGCAUGCCUAUCCUGCUGACACGUGUAUUUACAUGUUCUGUUAUUGUUCCAUGUACAGCUUUGGGGGUGUCUUGCAAUUUCUGUAUGUUCUGAUACGGCUGGUUGUCGCGUGCAUGGGUGUGUGUAGCCUAUUCAUUUUUCUGUUCGGCUGUUCUUUUUGUCGGAUGGUGGGUCCCAAUCAUGUGCUACAGCAGUGCGGUCACGCCGCUUUGACUAAAUUUUAGCCUUUUCCAACCAAGCACGCACACCGUGGUCUUUCUCGAAUUGGCCUUUCCAGAUUCUCUCCCCACCCGCACAAAAGAAGCGGCAACGGUGGGAGGCGCAUCCUCAGCUCCGUGGCGUCCAGCGCGUCAUCGCUCCACGGCAGCCGGCGCGAUUACUUCUUUAUGGGGAGCGUCAGCUACAACGGCGGUCGGCGUGUUCGGACUCCACGGCAAGUGGCGGCGGCGGACGGUUCUAGGUCGGCGAGGAGGAGUGCCGCGGGGUUGACUACCACGGCGGAGUGGACAGGAUGCCCUGACCACUCCUAGGUCCGACCGACCUCAUUUUUUCUCCAUCCCCUGCUCGCCGCGGAUUCACCCGCCGACUGCGCCGAUUCUCCCGACAAGCAGCGCUGUUCAGCCGGCUUGCCGUGCUAGCUCCUCGCGGCGGCGCGCCGGCUGCAGCACGCUGCCGACCUAGCCCUGUAGCUCGAGGAGGCCGACAUCAUAUGGGGCGAGGAAGCGCGGUGGCAUCCUCCUAGGUCGACAUGUGCGGGCACGCUAGGUCCGCUUCCGAAGCCUCUCAGACGCGCCUCGCGGCGCCGCGGGAGGCCGUCGAUGGUGGCGGCUUAGCGGGCCGGCCGCGAUGCCCCUGAACAUCCCGGACUGGUCCGAGAUCCUUGGCACGGAGUACUACGGGGGAAAAGCUGGUGCGGGGCACUGGCCGUCGGACAGCCACAAGGGCGGCUGGGUGCUGCCGCACGAGCAUGCGACUCGAGGGCCGGCCGGCCGGGCCAGUGCUGGAGCGCGAGCGUGCGACGCGAGGGGCGGCCGGAGCAGCAGGCCUGGCGACCGCGAGGCCAGGUAACUUCAGCUUUUAUUCCUCUUAAUUCCUUGAAAUUUCAGCCGUAUUUGUUCACAUUAUCAAUCUAGCAGAUUGGCGGUAGCUGAUUAGCACUACAGCUUUAGGGGAGUAUAGUAGACUAACUACUAGCACUAGCUGGAGUAGAUCUAAUUUUCUAUAUUUCAUCACUCCUACAUUGCAAGUUUCGAAUUGACUAAUUUCUUGAAUCUCCUCUUGCUUUUCUUGUUAUCUAGAGGACCAUGUAAGCUGAAGUCCCGAGAUUUCCACCACAUACUUGGGAUUACUUUCUACAGAUUGGUCUACAAGUUAUUGGAGGAAAAUUGGAGCGAUAGAGAAUAUUUUUCCUCUCCCCUACAGAUGUACCAAUACUCACGCAAACGGAAUGGGAGGGGGGAAUCAGUGUCCUGCGCUUGAACAACACCGGGAGAAACAACGAAGCACAACAUGGAGGAGUAGUAUCAGUACAAUUGCCAAAAAUGACAGUACUACUAAGGUGAUUUUGUUGUUUGAGUUCUCUACUUCUCUGGAUGUGAGCUGAUAUCUAGAUGACAGAAGAAGCAUAUGUAACAUUUUCUGUAGACUAAGGGAAGCUUUAGUUGGGAUACCUUCGGAUCAAGGAGAACAAAGAUAUUAUAGGCAGCGCAACAUGUGUAUUUGCUCCUCCGGUGUGACCUGCAAGGUCUGCUGCUUCAUGUAGAGAUUGGCUGCGGGGCUACAACGGCUGUUGAUCAUGGGCGACAUCCUCGAGGAGGAUGUGCUCCUGCUAUGGAUCGCUGAUUGAGAAGGAUGGUAAACAUCUUCAGUGAAAAUUGGAGGAUGAAUUCAACCUUGUCUUCAUAUUCCCUCAGUAUGGUGCGAUAUUUUUGCUCAUUGAUUGAUUGUUCAAGUCAGUGCUGCGUCAAAACUAUGAAAAGAAGGCAUGGCAGCAUGGAAACCAUUAUCCAACGCAUAUUGCAUCCGGUAUCUUCAUUCUUUGCUAUUUCUGUAUUAAUUGAUAUUUUGUUCCUGUUUGAUCUGGGUAUUUCUCAUUGAUCUGUCAGUUUUGUUUCCAUACGGACAUAUGAUUGCAAAUGGCCCUAACAGCAACACUAGACUGGUGCGUUCUAAGAAACACCGACAUAUAAUUACUUAGCGUUCCAGUUUGUAGAUGUGAGCAUAUUGAAAAAAAUUGGAUGUGCCCAUCUUCCUCUCAUCAGCUCAUUACUUCCCUCCAUAUUCUGUGAUUUCUCUGAAUCCUCCAGUAUAUGGUUUAGGAUCAAACACCCAACAAAAAUUUAAUCCCAAAAAGUGGACUUCAUUGAAGCAUUGCUUCUUGACAACCUUCUAAAUAUUCCAAAAGGAAAAUUUUCUUACUUCAAUGAAUUUAUUAAUGCCUUGCAUGUUCAUAUAUGUCUAAAUAGUACCGAUCUUUUGCUUUCUGCUUCCGUCCUGCAGCUAGCUGUUCAAUUACCUUUUAUGGUCUUUUUUCUAAUAUACACUGACACAUGUUUGGUCUAGGUUAAAUCAGUGUCAUGCACAUGCAUAACUUAGGGAGCAACAAUAAAGCACAAAACGAUGGAAGUGGUAACAGUACAUUAAUCUAUAAAUGAUAGUACUGUCAGUGAUAUGUGUUGUUCGAGUUCUCCAAUUCUGAGUGGUGACAUCUGAAUCUAGAUGACAAAAGAAGCGUAUGUAAGAUUUGUGAUUGUCACCAUCAGAGAAGGUGAGUAGUGAGUAGUGCACGAUUGAUUGCAUUUUGAUAUAUGAUUUCUUAGUUCCCCUUGCAGUCUAGAAUGUUUUUCUUAUCAAAAAAAGGUAACAUAAGCCAGAUGUGUAUAGCUGUUUAAAUAGGAGGGCCAUUUGUUCAACAUCCAACCUCUAUGAUGAAUGUGUCCACAUGUAUAACAUGGGCAGUUAAUUCGUUCGGUUCAUCAAACAAGCAAAAUGAAUACUUAAUUAAUUCUAUUUCUAAAGUAACCAUAUUUGACCAUAUGUUCUUACAAUGUGCUACUGUGGUUCAUAGUUGAGUAAUUUUCUGCAACAUAGACAUUCUUUAGCAUCUAUCGCCUCAUGAUUCUCUGGCUUAAGAAGUCAAGUUUCUCUUCAUGUUGUUGGAUUAAUUUUCAUGCAUAGUUUGAAGAAUAAGGCUUUUGAUAAACUUGAACUUUUUCUGUAACAUAACAAGUUAAGAAAUAUCGCACAAAGGGGAAUUGGUUGUUCAUCCAUACUUCAGUUUUGGUUAUAGUGUGUAUAUAUUUUACAAGAAAAUGCCCAGUGGUAGUUCUGUAUUGAAAGGAAGGGCAUUCCGUUUUAUGUUCAGCACUUGGAGUUGGAUUAGAGAAGGGAGUUCCUCUUUAUGUUUAGCACUUGAAUCAACGAGGUGAAUUCUUCUCAUAUGUGUUCUACAUCAAUCCCUUCCUUUCUUUCGCCUGCCUUGCUAUUUCCAUUUAUUUAUCUACACAUUUUCUACAAGAAAUUGAAUCUCAUCGCAUGUUAUAUUAUAAGAUCUUCGAACUUUAGUGUAGCCCACGGUUUUCAGGGCCGUGAUGGAUUUCUAGAGCUAUGCAACUGUAUUUUGGAUUUGUUGUUCUACUUUUAUUUGUGCAGUCAAAUUUAAGUACUAGAUAAGCAUCCAGCCAAUAACACACAUGUCACAUGUAUAAAAAUCUGAGAAAAACAAAUUAUUUCACUUUUUCUAAAAUAAUCUCCUAAUUGUGUUGAAAAGAAAAUAGUGUUAAUAUAUUAUUGUUCCAAAAUUAGUUCCCCUUGGUCUACAAGUUAACAAGCAGCCAAAAUAAGAACCGUGCGUGUCCAGAGAAUGACAUUAUUAUUUUUCUAGAAAACGCAAUUUUCAUUUCAUUGAGAAGGAAGAGAAUGAUAUUGUGCUUCUGUGAUAUUUGAUGUUCUUGGUAGUGCAAUGGAUUAUCAGCGAAGCUCCAAUUUUUAUGGUAUAUUAAACCUCUGAUUUUUAUGGUUGGAUCUUAUAUAUCAUGAAUAUUUCUCAGUGCCAAUGCAAGAAGACUGGUGUUGGAAAAAAAUCAUCCCCAUACCAAUUUUUAUAAGUACCCUAGGAGUUCAUAUAUAUCAGACGAGCCAAGGUUCAGAGAAGAUGGUUGAACUCAGAAUCCACCCAUUGUCUUCUCCCCUGACCCGUGCAGUGUGUCGGCUACAAUUGUUUUCACCAACUGGAAGCCGUUGCUUGCUCGCGCUUCCUUCGAUGACCUGCAUUGAUCUGUAGCCACUGUGGUAGUACAGUGACAUGAUAUGAGCACAAGUUACUCAAAAUGUGCAACCUCUACGAAGAGAGUACUUCUUAGUCGGUAGUGGCACAAUGUGAUACGUUUGCUUUUGGAGAAAAAUGUCAGACGUUUUUAUAAUACAAUGUCCGUGCCAAUAAUGUACCUGCAUUUUUGGAUUCAAGCACAUUAUGGUCUUCGGUGUAUCAACUUUGUUGAGUUUAUAUACGCUAAGAUUGCAUGUAUAUGUGAAUUGGCGAAAAUAUUUUGCUUUUGGAUUUAUAUGGUUACACCGUCAUAUGCAGGUUCAGAAA